CCUACGGGAGGCAGCAGUGAGGAAUAUUGGUCAAUGGACGAGAGUCUGAACCAGCCAAGUAGCGUGAAGGAUGACUGCCCUAUGGGUUGUAAACUUCUUUUAUAUGGGAAUAAAAUGUUCCACGUGUGGGAUUUUGUAUGUACCAUAUGAAUAAGGAUCGGCUAACUCCGUGCCAGCAGCCGCGGUAAUACGGAGGAUCCGAGCGUUAUCCGGAUUUAUUGGGUUUAAAGGGAGCGUAGGUGGAUUGUUAAGUCAGUUGUGAAAGUUUGCGGCUCAACCGUAAAAUUGCAGUUGAAACUGGCAGUCUUGAGUACAGUAGAGAUGGGCGGAACUCGUGGUGUAGCGGUGAAAUGCUUAGAUAUCACGAAGAACUCCGAUUGCGAAGGCAGUUCACUGGACUGCAACUGACACUGAGGCUCGAAAGUGUGGGUAUCAAACAGGAUUAGAUACCCCUGUAGUC
rnacentral:rRNA from 1 species